AUAUAUAUACAAAUAAAAAAACUCUCAGCUCAGUCGUUCCCCUCCAGCAUCUUUAUCCGUCCGCACACACCACUUCUUCCAUUAUCCGGCUGAUUAAGAUCUCGCUGCUUGCCAUCACCAAAUUGAUUCCCAAACCAUCACGGCUGAUUCAUUCCUUCCCAUUUCUCUUCGUGUAGGUACUGGCGCAGUUUGCCGUUAAGCAGAGUGCGCGGACGCGUCUAUCGCAUUCUUAAGGAUGUGGAUUCUCGACGACCUCGUGGAGUCCGGCGGAGCGUUCUCAAGGGUUUCGGCCAAGAUGAUGACCUCUUCUUGGCGUACGGCUAGAGGUCCAUGGCAGAGGUGUUGUAGUUUGGUCCAGUGGAGGAGGCUGCGAGGGAAAUCACCGAGUCACGUACUAAGUGAGUUAUUAGAUCUGACAUCUAAAGAAUACAAGUAGCAGCCGACGACCAUAAGAUGCUGGCCUUCUCAUUGUUCUUGCUGUCAGGCUACCACUAACUGUUUGUUGAGCAGCUCACUUGUGCUAGCAAGACGCCAUUGAUUUGCUUAUAUCAAAUCCUGCUAUUAAGUUACAGAUGAAGCACGUAUGUUCUUGUCUAUUAUGCUGGCCACGUAAAGAUUUGCCUAAAAUAGCAUGUGCAUAAAGGAAACUACAUGAAGAAAGUUAUGGAUCUGUUAUAGACUAAGAACAUUGGUCUUAUCUCGUAUCACAAAGAUUGAUAGUAUCAUUUAUUGGAAUUCUGAUGCAUUACCUGGUCUGACUGGUUUCCGUGCCUCAUUGUAGUCAGAAGUGCUUUGGUGUCAAUUCUUCCGAUGUCGCUUCAUCGGGCAUUGAGCGUGUUUACGCGUGACUUUGUGGGGCGUCGAGUGAAGCGGCUAGACGUGGCUUUUUGUCUAGCCGUUGAGUUGCGUGUGGCAUGUUUAAGUCGCCGUGGUCGUUGGCUUGUAAUUGUUUGGUGGUUGGCGUGUGUACUUAUUUAUAUAUGGGUUUAGGUGUCUUGGUUCGUGGUGGCCGGGCCGGUUGGAAAUCAGAUGCCCACACCGUGUGCUAAUCAAACUUGUUUUGUUUGUUUGUAUUCGUUCCUGGAACUUUCCUCACGUGAGGUAGUUGUCCUUAUACGGUUAAUAUUAGGUUCCUUAAUUUUUUAGGAUUUACUAA